CUAAGACUCUACGUCGCAUUCUUAAUCUCGAUGUUGACAAUGAAUGAACUUCAGGGAGCAUCAAGCUCCUGUAUAUAGGCUUACUUUCUGAGCCGGUUAGUUUUAGUUUGUAUAUAGAAUCAAUAAAUUGGUUGGUGAGGACAGUCAUGAGUAUCCUUGGUUUUCAGUGCCAGUGUACAUCCUUCGAUCGCAGCUACGGACUCUGAUGAUUUCUACUAAUAUACAGAUGUUGCACCUUAUUAAUCUGUGCUUAGAUGCAGAACGUGAUUUGGUUUUGGCAGACGAAGACAAGAUGGGGUGAUAGCAACACAACACAGAUUAAAUCAAAGAUAUUGG
rnacentral:misc_RNA from 1 species